GGGCGUAUAGCUCAGUUGGUAGAGCAGCUGACUCUUAAUCAGCGGGUCGUAGGUUCGAAUCCUACUGCGCCCA
rnacentral:tRNA from 1 species